rnacentral:lncRNA from 1 species
UUCACUCCUGUCACAGUCUUGUUGUCUCUGUACGUGUGAGUCUCUGUGAGUGCUGUGAGGUUUCUGACAGACUUUGUGUGAAUCAGGGUCUCAGGAAGACGGAACAUUGGGAACGUCAGGAUGUCUGUCUCAAGAGGAGUUAUCAGAACAGGCUUCACAGGCCCAGGAUCUUGAGAGACUGGCUCAGCUCUGCAUCAUGAGCAAAAGGCCACUAAAAUCCACCAGAGGGCUUUUGGUAACGAUCACCCCAUCACAGCCCGGAGUCUGGAGCUGCUGGCCACUGUCUAUGCUGAGAUCGGCAAAACAGAAUAUACAAAUUCAUUGGGAGAGUGUGUGUCAACUCUUUCCAAAAGGUUCUCAGCCACCGAGUCAUUCAGUGAUGCUCUGAGUAGCAUCUCUCAUAGCCAUAAAGACAGACACUCUGAGCUGCGACACAGAAAAGAGCCAUACAUACAACAGGAAACUCCUAAAUCGAAGGUCAUAAAUGAAAAACUGCCCACCUCUAUUCUGAAAAGGUCCAAUGUGAGCAAUGUGGAGUCAGACUCAUCGCGCAGGCGAAAAAGCGAGAGGCGGGUUCGCUUCAGACAGCCGGAGAUCACUGUUCAUGUCUACGACACCCCCCAGAGCCGUUUGCACCUGGCCCUGCUCACCUGCCUGUUUCUGCUUCUGUCUGCGCUGGGUCUAGCACUGUACUGCACGGACCGCCGAAGACCCCAGCGCGCCUGCGAAGAGCUGCAGACGGCACUGGCUGUGUACCUGCUUCAGUUCAAACAGAUCGUUUGGGCCUGCUGGAUCUGGCUGACCAUGCAAUGACCAUAACUGACCACAGGGGGCAGCAAUGGGCAGGAAAAAAAAAACAUAAAAGGUCAGGAUGUUUUUUGAAGGACUGUGGAGGAAAAAAAGAUAAAGGUCCUCUUGUUUUUUUUUUUUAUUGCUUUAUUUUCACUGUUAUAAUCAGACUGGCCACCAGUCGAAGC